rnacentral:misc_RNA from 1 species
UCCGGCUUAUCACCGGCAGUUUUCUCAGAGUGCUCAGCCUAACCUGUUAGCAACAGAGAAUGAGGGUUGCGCUCGUUGCGGGACUUAACCCAACAUCUCACGACACGAGCUGACGACAGCCAUGCAGCACCUGUGCAUCUCCCAGCCGAACUGAAGGACCCCUUUUCGGGGGUCCAAAGAGAGCAUGUCAAACCCUGGUAAGGUUCUUCGCGUUGCCUCGAAUUAAACCACAUGUUCCACCGCUUGUGCGGGUCCCCGUCAAUUUCUUUGAGUUUUAAUCUUGCGACCGUACUCCCCAGGCGGGGUGCUUAACGCGUUAGCUGCGCUACUCAGGGGUAACCCCCGAACAGCUAGCACCCAUCGUUUACAGCGUGGACUAC